UUACGGUCAAAUCACGCUGAAAACACCGGUUCUCCUUCGAUCACCGAAGUUAAGCAUCGUAGAGCCAGGUCAGUACUUAGAUGGCGGACCGCUUGGGAACACCUGGUACUGUAAG
rnacentral:rRNA from 1 species